rnacentral:lncRNA from 1 species
CGGGUGUAGACGAGGCGGGCCCUGCGAGAGAAGUGCCGGGGAAGGGAGACGGCGUUCAGCUCUGAUCCUCCCCCUUGCCUCGCUCUGCCUGAUCUUGGACUGAAACACCGAAAGCAAAGAGACAGGUGGCAGCGGAACUCACACUUACUGAACAACUUAUCUUCUAUGUGUCAGAAACAGCUCUAGAUACUUGGUAUUUGCCUUCCAUUUCAUCUUCUCAACAACCACACAAAAAAAAUGUGUGGAAAGAAACACACCAAAUCAGCCAAAACGGUUACUCCUGUGGGAUGGAGUGGAAGAGGAGAGAGACUGUUACCGCACAAAGUUGGGGUUCACUGCCCGAUGCACAUAAACAAACUGAUUAAUUACAGCAUCAGCCUUUGGGGAAAGAGUGUGGGAAAUGCCAGCAGGAGGACACCUUCCUCAACAUGGGGCUUCCUGGAAGACUUCCUGGAGGAGGCAACAUACAAAUGGAGGUUUGUGGCUUAGAGAGCAGGCUAAAGGGAGUGGGUAGGAACCAACUGGCAGGACAGCGUCAUUCUGGCUGGACAAGGCUUCUUCUGGGAGAGUAGCAGAGGUGGGGUAAAGAGGGAGGCCAGGCCUGGCUGCUGAGUGAGGUCAGCAUGUGUAAUAUGGCCAUGGUCAGGGCUGUGUGGGGAUGUGUGAGGAGGUGGCAGCAGCUUGGGGUCAGUCAAGGAAGGCCUGGCUCUGCCCAGAGAGGGCUAUGGGAAUGGGGGGAGGCAGCUCCAAAGUCUAAGGGGGAGAAGCCCCUCCCCCUACUGACCAUGGCAAGGCUGGGCCAGUGUCCAGCAGGAGAUGAAAG